GCAAAAUCCAGACUGUAUAAAAUUCUACAGAACAAGCAACUGGUUUCUUUAAAGCACACACACAUAGUGGCAACAUGCCUGUAAUUUCAGCUACUUAAGAGGCUUGGGCAGGCAAAUAAGGUCUGUUUCAAAAUUUAAAAAAAGAAUGGGGGUGCUGGGGAUGCAGCUCAGUGGUAAAGUGCCCUCUGAGUUCAGUCCCCUGUAGAGAUGAAGUAGAGGGUAGAGAUGUAGUUCAGUGGUUAAAGUGUUCCUUCCUAGUUUCAAUCCCUAGUGUUAAGUAUAAAAGUACUAGACGAAAUGCUUCAGGACACUGGAAUUACAGAAAACAAAAAAGCAAAAAGAGGUAAAUAGGAUUACAACAAACUUAAAAACUUCUGAGUUCAGUAAAGGAAACAAAUCUACCAAAUGAGAGAAAAUACUUGCAACUAUGCUUCUGAAAAGGUGUUACUAUAUAAAGAACUCAAAACACUCAACAGUGAGAAAUAAUACUAAUACUAAUCUGAUUAAGAAAUGAACAAUAGGGGCUGGGAUUGUGGCUCAGAGGUAGGGCGCUCACCUACCAUGUGUGAGGCACUGGGUUCAAUCCUCAGCACCACAUAAAAAU
rnacentral:lncRNA from 1 species